CCGCUCUUAGCUCAGUGGAAAAGAGCAAUGGUUUUCUAAGUCAUUGGUCGCGGGUUCAAAUCCUGCAGAGCGGG
rnacentral:tRNA from 1 species